CUGGUGGGGUCAGGAGGCUGCUGUGUACCUGGAUUUGUCAGUGAAAGUAAGGGUGAGUUUCUCCUGGACACCAUGGCCCUGGUGCCCCAGAACACCCAGGGUGACCCCAGCACACAUGGGCACUGCAGGGCAGGUAAUGGGGUGCUGCUCACCCUGACUGGCUCCUGGGACUUGUACCUCAGGCAGCCCCUGGUGCUGUUGGCCUCGCCUCCAUCUGCCCUGGCACGUACCUGCUCCCACAGUGGGCCUCACUUCUCCCUUGGGCAUUCUCAGGUCCUUCUGUGCCACUCUGAACGUGUUCAGUGCCGGCAGGGUGCAGCAGAGGAAGGAGCGUGGUGAAGGGAGCAAAUCCUCAGCAAUUUUGUAGCGCAACCACAGGUAACGAUGGACAAGAACACCAAGGUUUCCCAGUGGUUUCUAAAGUGAUCUUGUUUUUAAACAGCCGUUUGGCCUAAGCAGUGUGAAUCUGCAAAAUAUGGUAAGUUGUUUCCCAGACUUUCCUGCUGGAUAAUGGGGAGCUGUGGGCUGGCAGCAGCUGUGGGGGGAACCUUGGAAGAGGACUUGGCUGGGCUGAGGGCAGCUCUCUCCUCUACAGGCCGUUCCACAGAGCAGGCGAGCAGCCGUGGCGUCUUCCCAGCAGACCUGGCACCCCCAGAAGGGGACAGCGGGCGCUCUGGUGUCACCGCGACACUCCAGACCUGCGGCUGAAGUCAAUCUCUGUCUUUCUGAGCGGCGGCCGUCUUUGCAGCGCACUGGUGAGCAGGAGCUGUUCCUCGGAGCUGGGGAGAGAUGCAGAGACCAGCUUAUGAAACCUGAAGAAGAGCUGGCACCCCCAGACCUUGCGCAAUGUGGAGAAGGUGUGGAAAGCCGAGCAGAAGCGUGAAGCCGAGCGGAAGAAGGUCGAGGAGCUGCGGCGCUGGCCUGAGGACACGGGCCCUGUCCCCUGAGGGGCUGCGGGGCCCCUGAGCGCUGUGGUUGCACGUGCAAGGUGGGCUAUAGCAGUGAGGUGGAACAGAGGUGCCUGAAGGGGAGUUUGGGAGGUACAGGUAGGUGUCCUCCUCGCAGCUCGUCAGGUGGGGUAGUCCGGAGACAAAUGCUUUCCUUCAGAAACGGUCACAUAAAAUUGAAGCUGGGAAGCUUUAUAAACAGCCGUUUGGCCUAAGCAGUGUGAAUCUGCAAAAUAUUGUGGCCUAA